rnacentral:rRNA from 1 species
CCCUUAGAUGUUCUGGGCCGUACGCGCGCUACACUGUUCGACGCAGCGAGUCUUAACCUUGACCGAAAGGUUUGGGUAAUCUUCAGCAAAGUCGAACGUGAUGGGGAUCGAUCAUUGCAAUUAUUGAUCGUGAACGAGGAAUUCCUAGUAAGUGCAAGUCAUCAGCUUGCGCUGAUUACGUCCCUGCCCUUUGUACACACCGCCCGUCGCUACUACCGAUUGAAUGGUUUAGUGAGAUCUCUGGAUUGACGCUGGCUAGGGGGCGACCCUUGGCCAGGCUGUCGAGAAACUGCUCAAACUUGAUCAUUUAGAGGAAGUAAAAGUCGUAACA